rnacentral:rRNA from 1 species
UACGGGGGGGGCAAGCGUUGUUCGGAAUUACUGGGCGUAAAGGGCUCGUAGGCGGCCAACUAAGUCGGAUGUGAAAUCCCCAAGCUCAACUUGGGAACUGCAUCCGAUACUGGAUGGCUUGAAUCCGGGAGAGGGAUGCAGAAUUCCAGGUGUAGCGGUGAAAUGCGUAGAUAUGACAUAGAACACCAAUUGCGAAGGCAGCUGGCUACACGAAUAUUGACACUGAGGCACGAAAGCGUGGGGAUCAAACAGG